rnacentral:rRNA from 1 species
CCUACGGGAGGCAGCAGUGGGGAAUAUUGGACAAUGGGCGCAAGCCUGAUCCAGCCAUGCCGCGUGAGUGAUGAAGGCCUUAGGGUUGUAAAGCUCUUUCGCUCGGGACGAUAAUGACGGUACCGAGAUAAGAAGCCCCGGCUAACUUCGUGCCAGCAGCCGCGGUAAU